ACCACUUCUCGCACGAAUACCGAAGUUAAGCAAUGUCGAGCCUGGUCAGUACCUAGAUGGGUGUCCGCUUAGGAAUACCUAGUGCUGUAAG